rnacentral:rRNA from 1 species
UACGGGGGGGGCAAGCGUUGUUCGGAAUUACUGGGCGUAAAGGGCCAGUAGGCGGCCAACUAAGUCGGAUGUGCAAUCCCCAGGCUUAACCUGGGAACUGCAUCCGAUACUGGAUGGCUUGAAUUCGGGAGAGGGAUGCAGAAUUCCAGGUGUAGCGGUGAAAUGCGUAGAUAUCUGGAGGAACACCGGUGGCGAAGGCGGCAUCCUGGACCAACACUGACACUGAGGAGCGAAAGCCAGGGGAGCAAACGGG